GGGAGCAGCACUUCGGUUGGCGAGACUAGCACCCGUGAAUGAAGGAGGAGCUCAAUUUGUUCGUGCCCAAUUCGAUUGAUCGUGCUCGAGCUCGAUUGAGCCUCGCCGGAGCUCGAUUGGGCCGUGCUCGAACUCGAUUGAGCCUCGCCGCAGCCUCCGCCACCGCAUGAGUAAGAGCGAGCUCUGGUGGAGAAGCAGGAAGGAGGCGAUGAUGGAGGUAGGGGAUGGGGCGCGAGGAGCCUGUCAGUAGUGGCGGGGCACGUCUAGGACAGGGCAGAGGAGAGAAGAGGGAGAGAUAUGGGUGGUAACUUCACCUCUAGGAACUUAUCAUAUUGUGCAGCCAACCAAACAUGAGCAUAGUAAACCAGGCUAUCUUUAGCCACCCAACCAAACACGAGCACUUUGCAUUGAUUUAGUCGGAUCAAAAUUUGACCUGGCUAGCAACUAGUGCAGCCUGCCAAUCACUACCUUAUAGAAUGGUUGUCUAUUGUUCUCGGGGUCCUGCCUUCCUUUUUUUUUUGAGGUGAGUAUCUCAUUUAGUCACUUCUGCUCUACCAAUAUAAUUCUGCACGGGACUACUAGUUUUUUCCUUCUCUCGAAUCUGAAAUCAAAGUCAACGACCAUGCACCAAUUUUAUAAUGCUUUUGAGAUUAAUAACUGGUUUAGCCAAUGCAUGUAUCACAUUCUCGCAUUGCUCCAUGAUUUGAUGUAGUAUAUUCAAAAUGAACUUUUUAACAAUAUUUCACAUCCCCAUUUCUUAGAUCAGAUUGGUUCAUGAUUCAUGGACCCGUUCAUGGACCAAUGGGCUCUCCUUGUGAGCCUCAGAGGCUGCAUCAGCAGUUGGCGAGUCCUUGGCAUAUUAUGUAUGGUAAUUAAUAAAAGGGAAAAUUGGCUCCCGGAAAUCUUUUGCCACAGGCCUCUAAAAAAAGAUGGCUUUGCCAUAGGACACUACACAGUCGUGGUAAUUUGCUGAGGGACACUAUACCCAUUAUAAUAUUCGGUUUUAAUAGAAAGCAAUGGGACUGCAUUUUUAUCCUUGCGAGAUGAGCAGAAAUACAUGUGACCAGAAAAAGAAGGCAAAAACCGGGGUGAAGGGCCAGCCACAACCGACCAAGGAGAUCUCAUAAUUUAUGCAAGUAAUUUGGAAGUUCUAAAGAAUGCAGGUUAGUGUUAAUGCUUAAUUCCAGCGAAUAUGAUUUUGUUAUUUCGAUUAUGCUGCAUCAAUUUAAUCUGGGUAGUACGGAAUCUGUACUGUUGAAUGGUUCUUCGUUGAAUCAGUGACAUGCUGCUGCCUGCUAAACUAGGACCAACUGGGCUCUUGAUGGAGUGGAAACUUCCCGUGUUGAUCAACAGUUGCAGGCUGCAGGUAGCACGAGGAGCCAUUCCAACUGGAGCGUAGAAGACGACAAACGCAUCUGGAAAUCUGAAUUUCUUUCUAAUGCUUCUCUUCCUUCCGAGAGAACUGAAGAUAGCAAAGGCGUUGCCCUCCUCAACUGCUCAACUGCCUUGCUGCUGUCAUCUAAUGCCUAGAGUAAUGUGACUUCUCUCCAGUUGCAUAAUAUUAUCCCGUCAGCUGGUUCUAUAGUAGGUCAGGAACACAAAGGCCUGUUUUGUCAACUUGUGUCCACUGCAUUUGCAGAGCCUCAUCGAGUCAUUGUCAACACCUAGUCUAACAAGAAAUAGGAAAUCCAUUUAUCUGUUCCUGAAACAUAUAGGUAUGAAUGAUUAACCCAAGCAUAAUAGUAGUUGCCUCUUUCCCUUUCCUGGCAAUACAAAUUUAUGUUUGCCGACAGGAUUAGAAUGUGGACUGUACAUCAUUGUGCACGAAUGCCACACUAUCUGACCUUUCCUGAGAAGGAACUGGAUUAAGAACUAGUUUGGAUUUGUGCCGGUGGUUGAGAUAUGAAGCGCUGUCUACUGUUUUCAGGGAUCCUGCUUUCCUUGUUUUCAGAUGAGUGUCUCAUUCUGCUUUAACAAUUAUUCAGCAUGGGGGCAACUAUUUUUAUUUUUUUCAUCCCCUUGGACCUAUAAAAAAGAAGUAAAGUCAAAAGACCGUGCAUAUACAUUUUUAUUGCUUCUGGGAUCAAGUGCCUGGUAUUGCCGGCAUUCUCAGUUAUCGAAGUAGAUUACUCCAUGAGUGACAAAGUUAAACAUCUUAAUAUAUUUCAAUUGAGCCUUUUUUUUUUAAAGUCGUAUUUCACAUGCUCACUUGUCAGAUCAGAUUGGCUAAUAACCCAUGGACCAAUGGUCCAUGCGUUAAAUUUCAAACAGGCUAGUCCCAUAAGUUUUGGCUAAUAAUCUAGCAAAGUCUAUCAGUUAUUUAACGCUGUGAUCUGUCAAGAUGGGAGCAAAUUUAUGAGAUUUUGGUUCCACUUCCGUGUGACAGCGACACAUUUUGCGUAGCACGUGUGUGGUUUAGUUUUGUGAUUCAGAGAUACUGCUACACCUUAACUAUUGAAUCAUCUCGCCUCCCACGAUAGCGAGACCACAGACCACCAAAUUGAAGAAAACACGGAGACACAGGCCAAGAGACAAGGUAAUAUGGUGCCAGGGUCGCCGUUGCAUUCGGCCGGAUUUGCGAUCUUGCUGGGAGUUAGUAGUUGGCAGUGACAUCUGCUGCGUCGUCGACGGAUGAGCGUACUAGGGGGGAGUACCCGAGUACGGGUACCCGUCCCUUUUGCUAAUCAUACUGCGCUGCCGGCAUUGGAGCAGAACAUUAUAUUAGGUGAUGCAUGAAUGCAUGAUCCACUGAUCAGAGGAUGAGUGAGAUUUGGGCUUACCAUCAGGAACAUCCAGAAGAUGGCAGCUCAGGACUGAUUGGGAUGGAUUCCUUUGUUUUCCUGUAAACUACAUCAGAGUUCUUGAGGUUUUGUCACAUGCUGCAUGGAAGAAGCAUCUGAAAUUAAACCAGUUGGCCUUUGGCCAUUCUCUGAACUUUUGUGGAUCUAUGGUUUACUCCAGAGAAGUACAUUAGAGUUGAUUCUGCUGUAUGUCUUCCAGAAAAUGAGAUUUGAAGUAUUCAGAAGAUGGCAGAUGAGGCUGGUUGGGUUGGCUCUUGUUUUCCUCUGAAACUACUGCAUCAGAGAUCCUGAGGAUUUGUCACAUGCUGCAUGGAAGAAGCAUCUGAAAUUGAACCAGUUGACCUUUGGCGAUUCUCUGAACCUGAACCCACUGGUUUGGCUCGGCGCUUUCUUUUUCGGCGAUGGGCGAAGUGGUCUGUGGUCUCACUCCGACACUGCCAUCAUGUGAGGCGAGCCGUGGAGAGGAGGCGGGCAAGGCCGCUGGUGGUAGUCUGGUACUCUCAUCAGUCGAUCAGAGACAGCACACAGACAGCAGCAUUCCCUUGGUUCGGCAGCCUGCUCGUGGAAACAUGCGUUUUGUGCUGUUGCUGCUGCCCAUGCGGCCUGAACGGCCCCGAUUCCGCAACUACUCGUGACUGCAGCCUGAUGGCGACACCAGCGUCGCCGUGUCCACGCCCAGAUGGCCUUGGUUCCAUCUGGCCCCGCCGCACAGGGGAUCAAAUGAUCAACCCACGAGCUCCAAAGCUUUGCGGCAAGCAGCCAAACGGAAGAAUAUCCGUCGCCCUUGGCAGCCAAGAACG